AGUGAACGCUGGCGGUAGGCCUAACACAUGCAAGUCGAACGGCAGCACAGUAAGAUCUUGCUCUUACGGGUGGCGAGUGGCGGACGGGUGAGGAAUACAUCGGAAUCUACUUUUUCGUGGGUGAUAACGUAGGGAAACUUACGCUAAUACCUCAUACGACCUACGGCUGAAAGCAGGGGAUCUUCGGACCUUGCGCGAUUGAAUUAGCCGAUGUCGGAUUAGCUAGUUGGCGGGGUAAAGGCCCACCAAGGCGACGAUCCGUAGCUGGUCUGAGAGGAUGAUCAGCCACACUGGAACUGAGACACGGUCCAGACUCCUACGGGAGGCAGCAGUGGGGAAUAUUGGACAAUGGGCGCAAGCCUGAUCCAGCCAUGCCGCGUGGGUGAAGAAGGCCUUCGGGUUGUAAAGCUCUUUUGUUGGGAAAGAAAAGCAGCAGGUUAAUACAUCGCUGUUUUGACGGUACCCAAAGAAUAAGCCCCGGCUAACUUCGUG
rnacentral:rRNA from 1 species